rnacentral:tRNA from 1 species
GCCGGCUUAGCUCAGUUGGUAGAGCAGCGCUUUUGUAAAGCGAAGGUCGCGGGUUCGACCCCUGCAGCCGGCG